rnacentral:tRNA from 1 species
GCCCGAGUAGCUCAGUUGGCAGAGCAGCUGAUUCGUAAUCAGCAGGUCGCCGGUUCAAGUCCGGCUUCGGGCUCCA